GUCUCAGCUCCACCACCACCCUCUCUAUACCUCCCUUUGGGCCUCAGCCCUGGGCUUGCCUCUAGUGUUUGUUUGUUUGUUUGUUUGUUUGUUUGUUUGUUUGUUUGUUUGUUUCUGGCAACCUCCUAUCUCUAAAACCAGAGGGAGUGUGUCUAGCGUGAACAAUCUCCCUGACAGAAGGGCUUCUGUGGAGGAGACCCUAAAGCCCCAGCAGACAAGUGGUCCUGCCCUGAUUUUCCUGCUUGGCAGUCAUAACUGCUAUUGUCAUUCUAGCAACAUCUCUCCUCUGGCACUGCCUGGCCCCUGGGGGAAGGCUAGGAGGGCCCUAAGAGCAGGGACACCAAGAAUAUCCAUCCACGGGGGGGUGAGGAGUUCUUCCAAUACAA
rnacentral:lncRNA from 1 species